GAUGAACGCUGGCGGCGUGCCUAAUACAUGCAAGUCGAGCGAACGGACGAGAAGCUUGCUUCUCUGAUGUUAGCGGCGGACGGGUGAGUAACACGUGGAUAACCUACCUAUAAGACUGGGAUAACUUCGGGAAACCGGAGCUAAUACCGGAUAAUAUUUUGAACCGCAUGGUUCAAAAGUGAAAGACGGUCUUGCUGUCACUUAUAGAUGGAUCCGCGCUGCAUUAGCUAAUUGGUAAGGUAACGGCUUACCAAGGCAACGAUGCAUAGCCGACCUGAGAGGGUGAUCGGCCACACUGGAACUGAGACACGGUCCAGACUCCUACGGGAGGCAGCAGUAGGGAAUCUUCCGCAAUGGGCGAAAGCCUGACGGAGCAACGCCGCGUGAGUGAUGAAGGUCUUCGGAUCGUAAAACUCUGUUAUUAGGGAAGAACAUAUGUGUAAGUAACUGUGCACAUCUUGACGGUACCUAAUCAGAAAGCCACGGCUAACUACGU
rnacentral:rRNA from 1 species